UACGAAGGGUGCAAACGUUGCUCGGAAUCACUGGGCGUAAAGGGCGUGUAGGCGGGAAGGAUAGUCAGAUGUGAAAUCCCUGGGCUCAACCCAGGAACUGCAUUUGAAACUCCCUUUCUUGAGUGUCGGAGAGGAAAGCGGAAUUCCUGGUGUAGAGGUGAAAUUCGUAGAUAUCAGGAGGAACACCGGUGGCGAAGGCGGCUUUCUGGACGACAACUGACGCUGAGACGCGAAAGCGUGGGGAGCAAACAGG
rnacentral:rRNA from 1 species